UUCGUAGGGUGCAAGCGUUAAUCGGAAUUACUGGGCGUAAAGCGUGCGCAGGCGGUUAUGCAAGACAGAUGUGAAAUCCCCGGGCUCAACCUGGGAACUGCAUUUGUGACUGCAUGGCUAGAGUACGGUAGAGGGGGAUGGAAUUCCGCGUGUAGCAGUGAAAUGCGUAGAUAUGCGGAGGAACACCGAUGGCGAAGGCAAUCCCCUGGACCUGUACUGACGCUCAUGCACGAAAGCGUGGGGAGCAAACAGG
rnacentral:rRNA from 1 species